GGAGAGAUAGCUCAGUCGGUAGAGCAGAAGAGUAGAAAAACGCAAACUGACAAGUUUGUAUUCAGCACUCAAAUUCUCAAUGGUAAUCUUUUGGUCGCAAGUUCGAAUCUUGCUCUCUCCA
rfam:TNVERIFIED: Cronobacter phage S13, complete genome.